AUUGAACGCUGGCGGCAGGCUUAACACAUGCAAGUCGAGCGGAGAUGAGGUGCUUGCACCUUAUCUUCGCGGCGGACGGGUGAGUAAUGCUUAGGAAUCUGCCUAUUAGUGGGGGACAACAUUCCGAAAGGAAUGCUAAUACCGCAUACGCCCUACGGGGGAAAGCAGGGGAUCUUCGGACCUUGCGCUAAUAGAUGAGCCUAAGUCGGAUUAGCUAGUUGGUGGGGUAAAGGCCUACCAAGGCGACGAUCUGUAGCGGGUCUGAGAGGAUGUUCCGCCACACUGGAACUGAGAUACGGGCCAGACUCCUACGGGGGGCAGCAGUGGGGAAUAUUGGACAAUGGGCGCAGGCCUGAGCCAGCCAUGCGGCGUGUGUGAAGAAGGCCUUAUGGUUGUAAAGGACUUUAAGCGAGGAGGAGGCUACUUUAGAUAAUACCUAGAGAUAGUGGACGUUACUCGCAGAAUAAGCACCGGCUAACUCUGUGCCAGCAGCCGCAGUAACAC
rnacentral:rRNA from 1 species